GCUCCAUCAGGGAGUGUAGCUGAACUGCCCCGCGCAUGCGCUCUUCGGCACCGCCGCGCCGCGUCUCUGUAUCUUAGUAAAGCCGCACCGCGCUUCACACAUACACACACACACACACACACACAAGCACGCACGUCCGGAUGUAACAGACACACCACACCGAAACUGGGGCACACCACACUGCAAUCGGGACACAACACACUGAAAUCGCGAUUUCUCCCUCCCCGAGCCGCGCUAUCAGCUGGGGAGGUCCUCUUGCCUUUUCCUAGUCUGGAUUCUAGUUACCCGCUGGUUAUUGCCCUGGAGCUCAACAUUCACCUCAUUCUCACCUCAUCCCCCUCCGAACCGGGGCAGAGGGACGUUGUGGUGAAUGCGGAGCCCGUCGCCGGGUGUGGGAAACGCACUACUAUGAGGUCCACACUCACGUCGUCUCACAGAGAUGUCUCACUCAUCACACUCCGGGAUCCCAACCCCGACAGAGCGGGCCCCGCUGCCUCCGAACGGGGCAACCUCAGUAGCCCCGAAGGACCACUGAAAGGGCACACUCAAUUUGCUGCCUCGUGGAAUAACAAUAAUAUUGUUUUGCACACAUUCCCCAAGAUCAAGUCCAAAGUAGUGAGUUAAAGGGACUCCUUUGAUCCGUUUCGCCACGAUUAAAACAAA